GUGACUAUCAUUGACAAUAUAACUACCGUAGUAAUGAUAACAGACACCUAUCAUAAUAAAAAAAAUUCUAUGUAUGAAUAUUACUACUUAGCCUAUACCUCGAAGCAAUAUUUGACACUCUGUCAUUGAGCCAACAGUUAGUAUACAAAACUUUAUUACCCCAAGGUCAAACAUAACACACAUUUUCAAUCCUCUUAUUUUCUUUGCUGUCCAUUAGCUUCUGUAGCCUUUACUAGCUUAAUUAUUAGAGUGUCAUCAAGGAACAACUCCCCCUUUAACUCUCUAACACCUGGCAAUCAUUUUCCAUCAAUUCAAUCCAGUCGGAUAAAGGACGCUAUUACUCCGAAAAUACCCACCGAACCGAUAUUCGCAUCCUCAUUCCUCUACCUCUUUUAGAUAUUAUCCAUGUGUUAUUCAUCUGUGAUACGCCUGUAUCAGCAAUUAUCAGAUAUGCAAACUUAUAAUUAGAAUUUCAUUAUAUUCAAAUAAGCUCCUACAACACUGUCAUUUACUUGAGCAUUGGAGUCACCUUCCUUCUUUUGCAGGAACAAUAUAUUCUGACAACCACAGCCUCUUGAAUCCAUGGCACCAGCAAGAAAAACAAAAGCCAAAUUUAUAAUAAUAAUAAUUUUUCUUAAUAUUUGUUUUCAUUUUUUCGGAGAUGCGUUACAAGCAGUAUCUUAGUGUCCGUAUUAUUGACACAGUUUCAUUAUUGAAAUUCAAAGAUAAUUAUUUAGUAAAAACUCAAUCAUUUAGCAGCGGUGUACUCGCAGCGCAUAUAUGUUGAUGUGAAAAUCCAAGUCUAGCUCUCCGCUCUCCCUACAUAUAUAAUUUUAAAAAUAAAAACUCAAAUCAUUUACCACUCAAAAUACGCCCCCCACCAAAAUUCAGCAUUUCAAAUUAAUAGGAGGAAGAUCCGGCUUCUUCUCGGAAUUCUUAGCAAUCCGACUCCCAAAAAGCACGAACCCAACGGCGUGACCACCGACGGCAGCAAGAAAAACGCCGCCGUUAAAGGACACGACAGCAAGCAUCACCAAGUAAGACAGUCCAGCACGCACCAUGUACAUGCCAGUCCGAAAGAAACCCGCGGCGACCUUAUUCGUCCCGGGCUUGAUGAUGCUGCAAAAGUUGAACCACUCCACGAUCACUGCAAGAGUGAAGACGAAGAUCAAAGCCAAAGCGUACAUGCCAGAGCUAGAACCAGGCCAACCCUUGAAAAGAAUUUCGGUUUUGUGACCCCAGUAAAAGGUCAUGUGUGUGAUCGCUUUGUGGUGGACAUGAAUGCCGGUGGUGUUCCACGCCUCUGUCAGUGAAGAACCCAUUAUUGUGACUGUGUAGGUAUGCUUGGGGUUGGCGAAGUGGAGGGUAUAAAUCAACAGCGAGAGAGUGGGAAUUCUGUCUAGGGAUGGUGCAACAGUGGUUUGGUGAAAUUCCUUGCUUGAUACUUUGUACAUUUGUGACACUUUUGUGGCUAUCCUUGUAUAGUCAAAGAGAAAGACUUGCAAGGUUUUGAAGGUACAAUAAUGUAUAGCAGAGAGGAGAGCUUUUGAUUUCUGAAGUAGACGAUGAGGAGGGCAAUCUUGGACUUGAAUGCUCAGAAAAUAUGCAAUAACUCCCGAGGAAGCAA
rnacentral:misc_RNA from 1 species